rnacentral:rRNA from 1 species
GACGUAGGAUGCAAGCGUUGUCCGGAUUUAUUGGGCGUAAAGAGUUCGUAGGUGGUUCGUUAAGUCUGAUGUUAAAGACCGGGGCUCAACUUCGGGACUGCAUUGGAUACUGGCGGACUUGAGUGUGGUAGAGGCAAUCGGAAUUCCAGGUGUAGCGGUGAAAUGCGCAGAUAUCAGGAGGAACACCGGUGGCGAAGGCGGGUCUCUGGGCAGUAACUGACGCUGAGGAGCGAAAGCGUGGGGAGCGAACAGG